AGCCUCAAGAAUGGAUUUGAGGUUAGACCUGCCCAAKGUGAUUAUAUGAAUGGCCGCGGUACUUUGACCGUGYUAAGGUAGCGCAAUAGAUUGGCUUUUAAUUGGAGUCAGGUAUGAAUGGAGUCACGUAGUUUAGCUGUCUCUAUUUUAAUUGAUUGAAAUUACUAUUUAGGUGCMAAAKCCUAANNUUAGAAGGAGGACGAGAAGACCCUUAGAGUUUUACUAAAUUUUAAURAUUUUAUUUACGCAGUUUAGUUGGGGCAACUUGGGAGCAGUUAUGUAAAANAAUCUCCUUUUAAAAUAAGCCGAUAUUUAUMAGAAAAGUUAAACUACCUUASGGAUAACAGCAUAAUUUAUUAAAUAAGUUUGUGACCUCGAUGUUGGACUASGAAGCWUUAAGRUUAGCCSCCUUANAGGUAGGUUCUGUUCGAACUUUUAUUCCU
rnacentral:rRNA from 1 species